rnacentral:ribozyme from 1 species
UUUCUUUUUCUUCUUCACUCUUUCCUUUUUUGUUUUUGCCCCCCUUUUACCCCCCUUUAUCUUUCCGACCUCCCUUGGUGUUUUUCUCUUUCUCUCUCUGUUGCUAUGAGGGGGUUGAGCUUGUGUUUGUUGGUUGUUGUUGUUGCUGUUGUUGUUGAAGGACAACUUCAUCAACAAAAUGACUUUCAACGAGAUGCUUUGAAAGCCUUGUUCAGAAGCGCUGAUGGAAUGAACUGGAAGA